rnacentral:lncRNA from 1 species
UCCAAGGAAAAUUAUUAAUAUACCGAUUUUAUGACAUACAAAUAGUUUAUAAUUUUAUAAGUAAAUUAAAAUAUAGCAAUACAUUAUUUAUCUCGUGAGAGAAAUUUAAUGCUUAAAGAAGCAUAAACCAAAAUGCGAGGGAAAUUAUUAAAGUAAAGUGGUUAUAGUUACACACAUUGACAUUUAUUGUUCCUGCACUUUGUAGUUUUAGCGCCACACAUUUUUCUUGGACAAUGGCCGGUAUGUUUGCAACCGUUUUUCACUGUCAAUUCAAAUAACAAUAAAGGAAUGUUGUUAAAGGAAUAUUGUGUCUAACAUACAGAAAAUGAGAAAAGAAUUUCAAGAGUUACUUACUUCCACUGGUUCCCAUGAGAAAUAGAGAAAGAAACAUUAUCAAAGCAUAAACAUAGUUGAAAAUUUUAGCCAUAUUUUUCUUAAUGUAUAUCCUUUUUUGUUUACACUUUGAAUGUAUAUCUAAAAUGUAAAGUUUUGUUUAACCAUUUUAUAAGUAAAAUUUAAUUCUUUGGUAACAUCAAUUAAAUAAUCUUCCUUCAAUUAAAAUCAAUUAAAUAGUUUGUUUAUCUUUUAUGAAUUGUAAGAAAGCAUUUACUAAAUUGAAGUUAUUGAUAAAUGUCUCUAAUGUAGAUCAGUGUGACAUUUGUCCUUUAGCCCACUAAAUUGAUCAGUUAAACAUAAUAAAGAUCUUAAAUCAACCUUUUGAUGCUCGUCAAAGAUUCUUUGUUUUUUUAAGGGACAAAAUCCCAAAAUUAAAGAGAAAUAAUAGUGAUGAAGGUAACUGUUUUUUAGCUUUGAUAAUUAUGCAUUUAAGAGGUGAGAAAACAUUUAUUUCUAGAUUAAAAUUACAAUAUGAUGAUUUCUUCGGUUUAGAAAAUGAUCAGAUCGUAAAUUAAUACAUAUCAAAUGUAAAAAUUACAUGAUUUGUUUUAUUGUUGAUGUCGACCCUCAGAUUCCUCAGAGAAAAAGGCUAAAGUCAUUGAGACUUUGGUCGGGAGUUAAAUAAAUUAUGUCUAAGAAUUGUUUCAAUCGGGAAUCGAACCUGAAUUGUCACGAACAAUUCAUCAUAGGGACGCUAUUUAACCAUUAGAGUCAAAUCACUUGGUUGACAAUUGCAUGAGUUAAUCAAAGUGUUAAAUAAGUUUUUGGUCUGUAAAAAUACAUUGUUUUAUGUUUUUAACUCCUUUAAACAAUGAUCCCUGCAAUGUUUUCUGCAAGCAAAUUUAGGUCUCGCUUUCCUUAAUGUCCCAAUUUUUGUAAUAAGAUUAGAAACUUUUUCAUUUCAAUUGAGAGAUGACAUUUAUAUCUUAUCUUGAAAAAUUCGAAUGAAAUAAAUUAAAAUUACUUGCAUUUGAAGAAACGCUUACAAAAUAUUUUGAUUAUGCUAAUGUGUACAAAUUACGAACAAUAAUUUUUUAGAGAUUUUAAUUUUAAUUAAAAUUACAAGUGUAGAUCCCAUAAAAUUUAUACGUAUAUAUAUUUUCACUUUCAUAUUGUAACAAACUAUACAUAUCUUUUUCAAUAUAUUUUGCACUUUCAUAUUUAACAAACGAUACAUAUCUUUUUCAAUGAUACCAACAAUAUAACAAAUAUAAUAUAAAUUCUUAUCUUUUUUAAUGACACCAACAAUAAAACAUUCUUAUAACCAAAUAUUUUAAACAUUUUUUUAUUUAUUAUGUUAAUUCAUAAUAAAUUCAAAGCUUCAUACAAUAUUUUGCCAAACAACUUUUAACUUAAAAAUAGCUUUAAAACUAAAAAAAAUUUAAAGUAACUAAACAACUUUAACUUCUUUCUUAAAACCCUUAAUUUUAACUUUAUUUUAAAGUAGCUUUUAAACUGUAAAAAAGUCAGACCAAACGAUUCUAAAGUAAAACAAUAUAGCGAGACAUAAAUUGAAACAUGAUAUAUAUACUUUUCAGUACAUAAAUGAGAGCCAAAAAUAUAAUUUAACCAAAAAAAAAAAUUUAACCAAAAUUUUGAUCACUAUAAAUCUACCAUCUUUCGUUUUUGAUUCCGUUAUAUACGCAACCUUUAAAAAUGAGGAUGAGUGCUUCCUUAAAAAAAAAAAAAAAAAAACAGAGAGAGAAUGGGUGCUCAAAAUAACCGCUGAACUCAAACUAAUCAAAAUUAUUUGAACCUAUAUUUCAAGUAUAGUAAUAGAAUGAACAAAAUAAUAAAUAAAAAGAAUUCCUUCAAAAAAAAUAAAAAGAAUAUUUCAGUGGAGUAAAAUAUAAAUUGAUAAAAAAAAUAAUAAAAAAAAAAGACUAUUUUUCGGAAGAAAAAUCAUAGGAAAGAGGUUUAUCUAAAAGAUCUUUUUCCUAUUUUUAUUAUUACCAUUCGUUGAGAAUGGUUUUUCUUUUAUUUAUACUUACUUGGUACAUAUUUUGGGGUGGGUUUGAUAAUCCCUUUGAUUAUUAUUAAAACUUUUCAAAAUUUCUUUUGAUUUUUUAUUUAAGAUUAUUUUAUUAAGUAGAUUAUCGUGAGCCGCACAUACUUUAUCGCAGGCUAAACUAAAAAAAGAAAUAAUAUUUUGAUAACCAAUCAAUGAUACUCUUCUAUAGAUUCACCUAUAUAAGCCGCAACUAAGGUAGCAAAAAUAAGAGCUUGAAUACCGCUUGUAAAUAAUCCCAUAAACAUAACCGGUAUAGGAACUAUUAAAAGUACUAACAAAACAAGAAGAAUAACUACUAAUUCAUCAACUAAUAUAUUUUUGAAAAGUCGAAAACUAAGUGAUAAGGAUUUUGUGAAAUCUUCUAAGAUGUUAAUCGUUAAAAGGAUUGGAGUUAGUUGGAUGUAUUUACCAAAAUAAGUCAAUCCUUUUAUUGAAAUACCAUGAUAGAAAUAGGCUAGUGACAUAAGUAAAGCUGAUGCCAAGAGUAGUAUUUAUAUCAUUUGUGGGUUCAGAUAAUUCUCCAUGAGAUAACUUUAUAAUUUUCCAAGACAAAAGAGCCCCUGACAAAUUCCAAAAAAAAAAAAAAAAAAAGGGUUCCAAUAAAUGGAACCCACUGACCAUAUUCUUCUCCAAUCUGAUUUUUAAAUAUGCACAAUUAUAAGUCUAAUUGAUAGUUAUUAUUCAACAUAAAAUUAUCUAUUAGAUGCAAAGUAUUUCAAAAUUGAUCAAAGCUUCUCAACAUGAUUUAAUGUGUUGGCAUUCUUCAAACAACGACUCUAUUAUCUCCUAUAUAAGUCCCGAGAAAUUUGAAGAACUUAAGAGACUUUACAUAAUUUUAUUAGGGCCAAAACUCUAUCAAAUUAUAUAGCACGCAAACACUUAAAAAAGUUCUUACAAACUUUCACAUCUUAGAUAUUCUUAAAUGUCAGAAUUCAUUUGAGCUUAGAGUUAGUUUACCACUCUCUGAGUACAAAGUGUAAACAAUCAAAAUUUAUUUGUAAACUCUAAUUUUGGAAGUCCUCUUGUGUGAGGCAAGGAAAUCUUAGACAUGUGUGUGUCGAAGUAAUUGUCAUAUUGUGUGAUUAUGGUGAAAAAUCCCUUGGAAUGCAAGGGGACCUGACAAACCUCAUAUUGUGCGGUGAACCGUGAUAAUUUCUUGUGUUAUCUCUCUCUCUCUGAUUAUCUUUCUUGCUCUGUUCUGUGUAAACUUAGAAAACAAUUUUCAGAAAAGCUAACACAAUUCAAUCAUCUCUUCUUGUAUUUUUCUCACCUUCAGUUGGUACCAGAGCGUCUGGUAUGUUGAUUUAACACUUAAUCAUGUAACAUAUAUUGCAACCAUGUUCUCAAUGUUUCAAACUCUUGUCUUUGAUAUGCAAGUUUUGAAUAAGAGUUGUACUACGAUAAAAUGACUGUCAUUCAAGAAGCAAUAGACUUGAACAAACUUGGUUGGAGACUCUGAUAAGCUCUCUGAAGAGUCGUGAGAUGCAGCUAUUAGGGGAUGAUUCAUCCAAACAAUAUAGUUAUAUUGCUCUCAAGUCAAAGGACAAAUAUAUCACAACAUUUCAAGUUGUAGAGUCUGAAUAAGACAAUCUAGGAGAAGAUUCCGUAGAUGGUUCUAAUGAAGAUGAAAUGACAUUCUUUAUCAAGAGACUCUAACAUCUGAACAAGAAAAACAAGUUUUCUGAUAGAAACAAUGAUGCCAGAGGAUUUAAUUCCAAAUAUAAAAAAUAUGAAUCGAAAGUCUGCUUCAACUGCAAGAAGUCUGAACACACUUAACAUAAAGGUGGUUUGUUUUUUAAGGGAAAAUUAUGUGGUGAUGUUGUUGUAUUUCGAUAUUGUACUUGUUGAUGAAAUUUAAAGUAUAUGUUUAUACAGCUUAAUCAUUUUUUUAGAAUAUUAAUAUCACACAGUUAGCCUUAAAUGCAAUUUUCAUGUGAGAAUAACAAUGUUAGCUAAAAUCCAUUUAUCGAUAACGUAGAUUUAGUUUUUUAAAAAAAAUAACGUAGAUUUAGCUAUAUCCACGUAGAUUUAGAAAUACAUACUAUUAUUAGUGCAACAGAAAAAAAUACAAUUAUUAGGAUAUAUUGGAAUUAUUAAUUAAAGUGGCUAAUUAUAUCGAUUUUUAAACUUAGAAUUAAGGUAAAAUACACUUAUGAUAUUUAAACAUAGAAUUAAGGCUAAAAUACACUUCUUCUCCCCCGCCCCCAAUUUUUCAAAACAAUCGAUUUUUGCCCUUUGUUUACACUUGUUUUUGAUAAACAACGAGUUUGGCUUUGAUUAUUACAAGCAGGACCAAAUCAGAGAUUCUAGGACAUAGUGUGUUGUUUCGUUGAGGGAAAAGGCACGAAAGGAAGCACUACCGUCGCGUGGAGACGUCUUUUCGACUGGAAAAAAACAUAAAGAAAAAGGAAAAAACUAAAGGCAAAAAGCACCUAAAAGAAACAUUUUUGUUGAUGUUGAGAGAUGGCUAGUUAUAAUUGUGUGGUGAAGUUGUUGUUUUUAAUACUAUACUAGUUAAAUAAAUUUAAAGGUAAGAGAAACAUUUUUUUAAAGGAAAAAGAAAGUGCAAAAGCAUUGAUUAAAUGACAAAAAUGAUAUUCCAAUUGUGUUGGCACCUCAUAACUGUCUCCUAUGGUUUACAACACUCUAAAAUUAUUAUUAAUAAACUAGGGUUAAGACAGGUACGUACUAACAUGUUCAUGUUUUUGUUUUCUAUUGCACUUAAAUUUUAUAAAUAUCAUAAUUAUAUAAAGAUUAGUUUAUAUUGUUUCUAGUAUGGUGAAAUUUUUCCUAUUAUAACCGGAUUUAAUUGAUUCUUUUAAUUAAAUAUUUAAAUAAUAAUAUACAAAAUAUAAUAUUGGAAAUAGAAAAAUUUAAAUAAAGGAUAUAAUUGCAAGAUAAAUAUUCAUCUCAAAAUCAUGUAUCCCUUGUGUGUAGAUGAUUAUAUGUUUUUAUUAUAAUGAGAUUUAUUUGAUUUUUUAAUUAAAUAUUUAAGUAAUAGUAUAAAGAAUAUAAAAUUGUUAUUAGAAUAGUUUAAAUGAAAGAUAAAAUUUUAAAAUAAAUAUCCAACGCAUGAUAAUACAUAUCUUUAUAGGUAUAGGUUCUAUAAAUGAAUAAUUACAAAAUUCAGGAGAUUAGACCAACACUCAAGAAAAAAGAACCAAAGACUUUCAACAUCUGCCUCAUUAAAAACCUUCUUAAAAUAGCCCUAUGACAUAAAAUGUCUUUGGUAAAAAAAUAAAAGUGUAGAGCAACUAACCAACACAAAGACAAGAUAAACAACAUAAAUCAAAGUCCAAGGAAAAUUAUUAAUAUACCGAUUUUAUGACAUACAAAUAGUUUAUAAUUUUAUAAGUAAAUUAAAAUAUAGCAAUACAUUAUUUAUCUCGUGAGAGAAAUUUAAUGCUUAAAGAAGCAUAAACCAAAGUGCGAGGGAAAUUAUUUUAUAGUUGCACACAUUGACAUUUAUUGUUCCUGCACUUUGUAGUUUUAGCGCCACACAUUUUUCUUGGACAAUGGCCGGUAUGUUUGCAACCGUAUUUCACUGUCAAUUCAAAUAACAAUAAAGGAAUGUUGUUAAAGGAAUAUUGUGUCUAACAUACAGAAAAUGAGAAAAGAAUUUCAAGAGUUACUUACUUCCACUGGUUCCCAUGAGAAAUAGAGAAAGAAACAUUAUCAAAGCAUAAAC